rnacentral:rRNA from 1 species
GAUGAACGCUGGCGGCGUGCCUAAUACAUGCAAGUCGAGCGAACAGACGAGGAGCUUGCUCCUCUGACGUUAGCGGCGGACGGGGGAGUAACACGUGGAUAACCUCCUUAUAAGACUGGGAUAACUUCGGGAAACCGGAGCUAAUACCGGAUAAUAUAUUGAACCGCAUGGUUCAAUAGCGAAAGACGGCUUUGCUGUCACGUAUAGAUGGAUCCGCGCCGCAUUAGCUAGUUGGUAAGGUACCGGCUUAACAAGGCAACGAUCCGUAGCCGACAUGAGAGGGUGAUCGGCCACACUGGAACUGAGACACGGUCCAGACUCCUACGGGAGGCAGCAGUAGGGAAUCUUCCGCAAUGGGCGAAAGCCUGACGGAGCAACGCCGCGUGGGUGAUGAAGGUCUUCGGAUCGUAAAACUCUGUUAUUAGGGAAGAACAGAUGUGUAAGUAACUAUGCACGUCUUGACGGUACCUAAUCAGAAAGCAACGGCUAACUACGUG